GGGAAGGUGGCUCAGUGAUAGAGCACUUGCCUUGCAUGCAUGAGGCCCUGGGUUCGAUUCCUCAGC
rnacentral:tRNA from 1 species